GCGUAAUUAAGCUUACCCAUUUUCUAUAUUAACGCAUGCGCAAAACUCAAUGCAUUAAUAUCAAUAACUGAGGCUAAAAUGGCGGAGAAAAGUCCUGGAGUAAUUUUAUAAUUCUAUAAAGACGCUGAGAAUCGGAUACCUCUUCAAGUUUCCGUCGAGUAUUACGCAUUGUCACCAAGUUAGUUUUGUGUACAUGGUAAAAAACCCUGUGGCACACUAUAUUUCAUCAAGACAAGGUUUGCCACCUCUACAUCAAUACAGACAGUUUGGUAGCGCUCGUCUAAAUAAGACUUCUCCCAUCCAAGUGGUUUGCCUGCAAUACCAAAAUGAUGAACAAGACGAUGCAACAGAGUCCCGUGAUCAAUGGUAUCAAAGGCUGCUGACAGGUCGAGUAACAUUAUUGCAAUCAAGAGAU